rnacentral:rRNA from 1 species
AAGCAGGGGAUCGUAAGACCUUGCGCUUUUGGAGCGGCCGAUGUCUGAUUAGCUAGUUGGUGGGGUAAUGGCCUACCAAGGCUACGAUCAGUAGCUGGUCUGAGAGGACGGCCAGCCACACUGGGACUGAGACACGGCCCAGACUCCUACGGGAGGCAGCAGUGGGGAAUUUUGGACAAUGGGCGCAAGCCUGAUCCAGCCAUGCCGCGUGAGUGAAGAAGGCCUUCGGGUUGUAAAGCUCUUUCAGCCGGGAAGAAAAGGUUGCGAUUAAUAAUCGCAAUUCAUGACGGUACCGAAAGAAGAAGCACCGGCUAACUACGUGCCAGCAGCCGCGGUAAUACGUAGGGUGCGAGCGUUAAUCGGAAUUACUGGGCGUAAAGGGUGCGCAGGCGGUUUUGUAAGUCAGAUGUGAAAUCCCCGGGCUUAACCUGGGAACUGCGUUUGAAACUACAAGGCUUAG